UCAUUUUGAGCUCUGACGCGUUAUUCAACAAUUUGAGGCCAUGAACAGCUUCAUCUCAGGUAUAUUGACUUGUGUGUAUGGUCAAAAUUAAAAAUCAGGAAGUUUGGAGUCAAAUUUAAAUGAAUAUUCUCAUUUCAGAAGCUUAAAAUUGAAGAAAUGAACUAGGAUUUGAAUUUUGAGUAAACGACCUCGGAAUUGGGAUCUGAAGGUUCCAACAGGUUUGUAUGAUGAUUUCGGACUUGGGCGUAUGCCCUACUCGGGUUUUGGAUAACCCGGAAGCAUUUUGACACCUAUUGUGGAAGAUAACAUUUUAGAAGAAAUUACAUCAGUUUGGCUUAAAAAUGCAUUUCAGUGUUAUUGAUGUCCGUUUGGGAUUCCGAGACUGGGAGUAGUUCCGUAUGAUGAUUCUGGAUUUGGGAGCGCGGUCAGAAGUGAAUUCGGAGGUCAUUAGGUAAUUUUGGAGCCGUUUGGCUAAAGAUAUAAAUUUGAAGGUUUUUGAGAAAAUUCGACCGGAAGUGGAAAUUUUGAUAUCUGGGUCGGAAUGCGAUUCUGAAAGUUGGGGCAAGUCUGUAAUUUCGAAUUUGACUUGUGUGCAAAAUUUGAAGUCAUUCCUGAAUGAUUUUGGUAAGGUUUGAGAUAGUAUCUUAGUUGUUGAGAAGGUUGCCCAAAAGCGUAAGGCGUACCAGUCAAUAAACCAGAUAUAAAGAUGGCUACUUUCACUUCACUACGUAUCUAAUCUCCUAAGCUUUUGGUGCUGCUAGAAAGCGUUCAACCGGCCAGAUCUACUGAAUCAACAGAAAGAUACGUAGGUUUGAGAAAGGAAGACUCACUAACUGAGAAACUCAUUUCAAGUCAAAUAAGAAUACGUAUCUCAGUUCCCCGAAAAACACGUUGAAACGUUAAUCCAGUAGCACGACGAACAAUUCCAGGAGCAGCAGUCGUUGGCAGGAAAGGGAUGGGCCAAUCGGUUCGGUUUUCGGCGGCAAGAGCUUACGUUGGAAAAGUCAACCGGAUAUUGACUUAUGUGUGAGAGCGCUCGAAAUGCAAAUUUUAUGAUUCGGAUAGCUUCGUUAGGUGAUUUGGAACUUAGGAGUGUGUCCGAAAUAUUUUGGUGAUGACCGGUGUGGAAUUAAGCUUGAAUUGGCAAAGUUAGUAUUUUGGCGAAUUCCGAUUGAUAGGUGAGAUUUUGAUCCGAGGCUCGGAAUGGAAUUCUGAGAGUUGCUGUAGCUUCGUUAUGUGAUUUUGGAUCUGUCUGCAAAAUUUGAGAUCAUUCGGAGUAGUUUUGACGUAUUUCGACAUCGGAUGUGAAAAUUAGAAGUUUCAAAGUUCAUAGGCUUGAAUCCGGGGUGAAUUUGGUAUUUUUGCAUUGUUUUUGGUGAUUCGAAGGAACAACUAAGUUUGUAUAAUAUUAUGGGAUGUUUCAGUAUACUUUGUUGGGAUCCCAUGAGGCUCGAAUAAAUUUUGGAAGAGGUUUUGGAUGAUUUUUACCGUUUUGAGCAUAAAUGUAGUGAUCUAAAGGUUCAUUUUUAGUUAUAGAGAUCCAAAUUUGAUUCCGAGACUUCCGAAAUUUUGAUAAUGAAUUAUAGGACUGAUCUGGAAAUUUUGGUCUAAUUUUAUCAAGUCGCGAUGGAGUUUUUGACUCGAAACAUGAGUAAUUAUUUAACGAGCGAAAUGGAUAUCGCACUGAGCAAAAGAGUUCCGAAUUGAGUUUCGAUUGAAUAUUUAUGUUCGUAUUAUUAUUUGUGACUCAUAGGAACAAGAAUCGUCUAAUUUCGAGUUCGUAUGAAGGAGUUAGAAUCUUUUUAGUGAAAUUAAAGAGUGGUGGUGCAUCAGGUCUGGUAUGGCACUUUUAGCGACCAGAUUUGGGUCUUUAGCGACCAGAUUUGCUUAUAAAGCUGCUGCAAUUUUCUGCUCGUUUUUUUCCACCUAUUUUCUUGCAAAAUAACACGACUUGGGGCGAUUUUUGAGCAAGAAAUCAUGGGAAAUCUUGAGGUAAGUCACUUGUGAUUAUUUCUACUCCAUAAUAUUGACUUAUCAUCGAAUAAUCCGACUAGAUUACAUGUUUCUGAGUUAUAAAUUGGGGAUUUGGACCUAGGGAUUUGAAAAUAAGAUUUGAAGAUUUGAGGGGUCAUUUGAACUCCAAUUUUGGUAAAUUUUAUAUGUACGGACUCGUGGAGAGACGAGGAAUCCGGUGAUAUGUCUUCUGUAAUUUUUCGAGAAGUGGGCCCGGGGCUCGGGUUUUGUCAACUUCAUGACUUUUAGUGUUUUUUGAGUAUUUUCGAUUGGGUAUUGUUAGAGAGACGAGGAAUUUGGUGAUGUGACUUGUAAUUUUUCGAGAAGUGGGCCCAGGGCUCGGGUUUUGCCAACUUCUUAAUUUUUAGUGUUUUUCGAGUAUUUUCGAUUGGGUAUUAUUCCCUUAGCAUAUUGUGAUGUAUUCACUCUGAUUUUGGUUAGAUUCGACGCGAGUGGAUGCUAAUUUGAGGGGCAGAAGGCGUCGUGGGCUAGAAAUUUCACCGGUUCGAGGUGAGUAAUACUUGUAAAUGAUAUCCUGAGGAUUUGAGACCCCGGAUUUGCACAUCAUAGUGCCGUAUUGAGGUGACUUGCACGCCGGAUAUGAGCGUGGGAUAGAGCACCGUUGGGGAUUGUGACUUGGUCCGUCCCGUGUGUUGAUAUUUUCUGAUGAUUCGGUUAGUUUNNNNNNNNNNNNNNNNNNNNNNNNNNNNNNNNNNNNNNNNNNNNNNNNNNNNNNNNNNNNNNNNNNNNNNNNNNNNNNNNNNNNNNNNNNNNNNNNNNNNNNNNNNNNNNNNNNNNNNNNNNNNNNNNNNNNNNNNNNNNNNNNNNNNNNNNNNNNNNNNNNNNNNNNNNNNNNNNNNNNNNNNNNNNNNNNNNNNNNNNNNNNNNNNNNNNNNNCUAAGUUUUGAAAACUUAAAUGAUAUUUUAAAUGCAUUUCGGGCUGGAAACUUCGAUUUUGUAAAUGCCCAAGGGGCUUACUAUAUUAUUUUCUAGACUGGUAAUAAAGUGACUUGAAUCAGUGGUAACAAUGACACUGUAAUAUAUACUUGAAACAGUGUUAACAGUGACACUGUAUGUUAUACUUGAAAUGGUAACAAUGAUACUGUAUGAUAUAAAUUGGUCAGGUAACAUUGGCUGACCGGUCAGGUAACAUUAACUGACUAAUAUAUUGCGCUUGAGCUGUAGAAGCCCCUCCGGAGUCUGUACACACCCCCAGUGAGCACCGUCGACGAUAAAUAAAUAUGGAUGGCUCGGGCUGUAUGCUGCAAUGGGUACUGAAAUGUACCAUCAUAUGCAUUGCAUUGGAUUCAUACAUUUGUGCACUAUUUGUUGUUUGUGUCAUUUCUUGAGAUAUUUAUUUGUUGUUCGGGUAUUUAUGAUCACCUUCAGAGUGGAUGAAUUUGAGAUACUGGUAACAAUGAUACUAUAUGAUGUAAACGGGUCAGGUAACAGUGGCUGACCAUAGACAAGAAUAUUUCCUAAGGGCGAGUUGUGAGCUCAAUUAUGUAUACUUGCUUGUGCCCGAGAGGCUGACUUUUGUGAUGAUUUGCACUACUUGUCCUGCAUUUACUUGCUUAACUGUUGGUAAAGCAUAUUUCUAAAAGUGGUUCUAAACUGAGGCAGAUAUUUUCUAAAGGAUUUUCCCGGACUUACUGUUUGUUUCUUCAAAUGAUUGUGUUGUCCCAUAUUGCAUGGUGGAGUGCUCUUACGUGAUUUCUUACCUUCAGUUAUUAUUUACUCUUAUUACCGAUGAGUUGAAAGUACUCACUUUACUCCCUGCACCUCGCGUGCAGUUGCUGGUAUUAUUCGCCCGGUAGCGGGUUAUUAGCAGAUUGAAGAAUUGUUAUCCUAGCUGAGCCAGGUGACCACUAGCGUCGGCGGCACCGUAUCUUCUCCCUUAUUUUAUUUUUUUCAUAUUAAUUUUAGAUUUGUAGUUUUUAGCGAAUUCUGUAGCAGCUUGACUAGUGACACCCCGAUGUAGGGCUGUGACGGGAUGUUUCCCAGUUGGUAUUAUUGUUUUCUGCACUUUUGGUUAUGCUAAUCAUGUUUUAGCUUUAUCAAUGUUAAAUAACUGUUAAAAGGAAGCGUUUGUUUUGUUGGCUGGCCUUGUCUUCACGAGAGGCGCCAUCACGACCGGGUUUGGGAUUUGGGUCGUGACAGUCCGAUUUUCCUAGUGAAUCUUAGGUUCUUGGCUUUGCAGGGUCUUAGUCAAAAUUUGCACUUCUGGCCACCUUUUGGAAAAAUUAGUUAUUUUACAAAAAUAACCCCAAUCUUAUCUUGCAUGUGUCUACCAGAAAGGGUUAUUGUCUCACAUAGUGUUUUAGGUCUUUAACUUUAUUUGGUCUUAAUUUUUUCAUACAAGUGUGGAUUUGCUUAUUGGGGUUUGAGCAUGACAGAGUCCCAAGACCAUCCAGUCAGGACGCUCAUUCAAGAGUUGAUUAAGGAGAUUUUUAUUUUUAUGUUUUGAGUAUGUUAUUCUUUUAUGUCAUCUUUUACCUUCUAGUUUUUUACAGUGAUGUCGAGUCUUUUGUUAUUUUAUUUCCUAUUGAAAAGAAGAUGUGUAAUAAAUCAAAAAAAUCCAAAAAAGAAGAAGAAAGAUUUUGCGUUUUAUAGUUCUGUUAGAUGUAUUCUUUGGAAUACUAACACUAGAAGUUCCAAAAAAAAUCUUUUCUAGUUUUCCUUAGGAGAUUAAUGUGUAGAACUCAAAAUAAAAAUUUGCUUAUAUAUUUUAUUUAGUAUAUUAAGACUAAAAAUUCAAAAAAUGAGAGAAUUUUCUUUUAUUGCCUCUAAAGGUUUUCUUUUAAGAUAUUAAUUCUAAAAAUUUUUUUGAGGUUCCUCAUUGAGAAAUUCACGAAAAACGAAUUUUUUUAUUUUCACUAGAACUUUAAGGUAUUGUACAUAGAAGAAAAUAAAAUAUACUUUAUCUUUUGUUUAUCUUUAAAGUUUCUUCCUUAGGUAAUCAAAAGCUGAAAUCCAAAAUAUUUUUUAUCUUGUUCAUUUCUCGUUUUGAAAUCUUUUUUAAGGAAUAUCAAAUGAAAAUUAAUAAUAUUUUUCUUUUGUUUAUUGUUUUGAUUUCCUUCCUAAUAAAAAGAGAAAUAAAAAAAAUAUUUUUCUCUUGUAGGGUUUUUUUUUCCUUAAUAAUUUUCCAUAGAUUGUUUGUUUCAAAAAGAAAAAGAAACAAUAUAUGCUCAUUAAGCUUGAGUUUAGAAUAGGAUAUAGAAAUUUAAGUCUAGAAAAUUCAGCAAAAAAAAAGGGUUUGCUUCUUUUAUUUCUCUUUUCUCAUUAGAGAAGUCAUCAAGGUAAAAAGAAAGAAAAAAGAAAAUGAGAACGUUAGUCUGUUUACUUUUUUGAUCUUCCCGAAUUACAUAAAGAUCUGAUUCAUACGGUGUCAUGAUACGUAGGCAACCUGCAUAGGGUUCGAUCGUAUUAUUUUUUUUAUUAAAAGAAAAGGAAAAAGAAGGAAAUAAGCAAAAAAAAGGGUGAACUUAUGGGAUGUGGAGAAAUGAGAGGAAAGAAAAGAGUGACAAUUAGCAAAAAAAGGAAAGGAAAAUGAGCAAGCAAGUGCUAGAAAAGUAAAAAAAAUAGAGGAUUGAAAUGAACAAAUUGAGAUGAUGGAAAAUGACCUUCGUACCCUCGAAGUCAGUUUUAGAACCCAUAACUGUGGCUAGGUGCAUUGCACAUAAAGUGAGAUUACUUUAUUUUAAAUGGCCUAACGCUAACGUGAUGACUUCAUCUUCAUAGCAGAAAGGUGAUUGGUUUGUGGUUUUUAAAGUGGUAACUCUAAUCUACAACAUAAGGUCGAAAGGUAAUGGCAGAUGGUAAUGGAAUCGAGUGGGUUGACGCUGGGGCCCAAAAGAAAUUGGUUGAACAGGGCAAUAGGUUGGUUGAAGAGGUAAGGAUGUUAAGACAACACAUGGCAGACAUGUAUCAGGCUUGGAUGACUGGGAAGGCACCACCCCCCACCACCUAGCUUCUUAGAUGCUACCCUUACCCAAACUCCGGUCAUAGUGCCAGAUGAUCUUCCAUACUCUCCAGAUCCACCCUCUUAUCACAGAUUUUCCAACCACCCUAGUGGCUUCAUCGCUCGUCCUCCAAUUACUUUUUUUCAGAAUUUCCAUCCUGUAAUAUCCACUAUCCCCAACAAUGAACACCCACUCAAAGCUCAUGAUGCCCAAUAUUACCCCUCAGAGGUUGCUUACAAGUUCCUGACUCAUACAAUCAGAACCUUCAGAAUGAGCCUCAUGUUGAAAAUGAAAAGGUCACAUGAAAAUAAGGGGGAGAUGAGAUAUCCAGGAAGCUGAAAGGUAUAUAACAAUUCUUAAGGAGCAUGCAAGGGAUGGGAAAUAAGAUUAACAUGUCUUACCAUGACUUGUGUAUGUUCCCUGAUGUUCAUCUACCUGCAGGGUUUAAAAUGCCAAAGUUUAACUUGUAUGAUGGGUGUGGAGAUCCAGUAGCCCAUCUGGGGGGUUAUUGCAACGAAAUGAGAAGUGUUGGCGGGAAAGAGAAUUUGUUGAUGACAUAUUUUAGCGAGGGCUUGACUGGGGAAGCCUUGCAAUGGUAUACUUGUCAAGAUGUCAAUUAGUAGCAUACAUGGGAUGACAUGGCUCAAGAUUUUGUUCGACACUUUUAGUACAAUCUAGACAUUAUCCCAGAUCGCUCCUCUCUAUCCAAGAUGGAAAAGAAACCGAAGGAAAGCUUUAGGGAGUUUGGGCUUAGAUGGAGGGAAUAGACUGCUCGAGUCAGUCCCCCGAUUGGUUAAAAAGAAAUGGUUGUGCUUUUCCUCCAAGCCUAGGGGGCCACCUACUUCAGUCAUUUGAUCCCGACCUUGGGUAAACCUUUCAAUGAUGUGGUAAAAAUGGGGAGAUGGUAGAAGAGGGAAUCAAGUCAGGCAAAAUCAUGGGUUAUUCUGCAUUGAAAGACACUACAAAAGACAUCAGGAACAUCUUAGUAAGUUUGGAUCGAAGAAACAGAAAUAAAAAAGAUGUUGUUGAGCUGCGCCAACGACAGGAUCCAGUGGGCAUUCCUGCUCAAUGCUUUCAGCCUCGAUAUCGACCCCAUAGAUAUACAUGUGCUCCAGAUAAUCCUCCGUAAUACUACUUCCCUCAACAAAAACCCCAAAGUCGUACAUCACUUUCCCAGUACUCCGUCCAUAAUGCACCACCAUAUGCUCCACACCGAUGAGACCCGCGAUGGCCUGCACCACUUCCACAAAUGUCUUACCAGCCCCCUCAAGCAUAUCAAACACCUACCCACAAAAGGUUACAACCGAUGCCAGAGUACAUGAUGAAAAGGCAAAAACAAAUGGAAAAGACUUUCACUCCUAUUAGAGAAUCAUAUGCCAGUUUGUUCCAAAGGUUGAGGCAAUUGGACAUGUUGAAGCCGAUUUAGAUAAAAAUGCUGAACCCUCUUCCAAAGAAUUUGACUAUUCUCAAAGGUGCGUAUAUUGCUCUGAUGCCCCGGGUCACAACACAGAAAAGUGUUGGAAUCUGAAAAAUUCAAUUUAGAAGCUUAUUGAUGCAGGUGACAUUGUCGUGCAAAAUUCAGAUGCAGUAGACACUAGCCAAAGCCCAUCGCCUGUUCAUAAUAAGACGCAUAUGGUGGGUAUGAUUUGUUUUGAAAAGGAAUAUGACAAUUCCUCUAAGAUCUUCGAAGGUCCACAUGCUUCAAAGCUUUCAGCGCUAUCAGAGACUGAUCUUAAGAGCAAGCCGGCAAAAGGGACCCAAACGAAAUUUUCUAAAGUUAGUGUGAUGGAGACUUGUGAAGGUCCUAGUAAUAUUUAUUCGAAACUCAGUGGCCAAGAUGUCGUGCUUGGUAAUUGAAAAAACGCUCCAUCUCUUGUCUAGACAGGGAUGAGUCUUGGUGGUUUGUUUUGUUGUCAUUUCUGUUGUUCGGGUUAUUUUUAGGGUUGUAAUCCAGAUAUUGUCUUGUGACAUAAACUCUUCUAUCCAUUUAUUUUGCUUAGUUUGUUUUGUCGUAGUAGAUCAUUUAGUGUUGUGUAGUUUUGUUCCAGGCUUGUAAUCCCAGCUUAUUUUACUUGUUUGUUGUUCAAACCCGUUUAACAUCAGUCUAAUGCACGUUCCUAUUUUCUGUUAUUUCUAGUUAGUGUUUGUUUAGUUCUCUUUUUCUUUUGUAGUUUUUUUCUUGCUGACUCUAGUGACAUGAAAUGUACACAUAAUUCUAGGCAUGGUCUUAAAAGUUAGUUUAAUCAUGAAGCAGUAAAAUAAUUUUGAAGAUGAUAGGUACACUUGAGGGACAUAAGUACAGAUUUGGACAUUUUGAGAUCAUUUGAAACCCGAAUCAUGUGAAGCUCGGGUAGAUAAUUUGGGAAGUUAAUAGGAUAGCAAGAAUAGCAAGAAUACAUUAAAGGAGAGUGCAUUCCAGACAAUUUGAAGCGAUCAAUUUUGAGUGCACCUCAAGUAACAAGAUAAAGCCAAGGGAGUUUGCUCCAUGCAGACGAAGGGUAUCCAUUAUGAAGAAAAAUAACACAACGAUAGUUCUGUACUUGACAAGGCACUAAACAAAUUGAAGGAAUAUAAGUGAUAUCAAUGUCGAAGCUGCAAAAGAAAUAUUGUGCAAAAUCUUCUUUUUCAUUCUCAAGUUGCCUGUGCUAUACUUGGUAUUUUUGGAGAUUGGGAGGCCCUCUUUCAGCUAUCGAAACACUUUAUCCCCUUUGGUACCCCUUUGAGCAUGUGUUGAUUUCUUUGACCUCCCCUCUUUUGGUCAAGUUAGAGUCAUAAAAUAAAAUGAAAAGUUUAUGUCCCCAUAGGUUUAUUUUAGAAAGUUCAUCCUAGAAGAAAAAUUCAAAAGAAAAAAGAAGAGAAAAAUAGAGAUAAAGAAAAAAAGGAAAAAAAUAGAUAGAAAAAAAAAAUAAAAAGGAACAAAAUAGAAAAAGGAAAAUAGUGACAAAAAGACCUGAUUCUUGUCACCAUAAGAUACGUAGACAGCCUUACGGUUCUGUCAUACCAAAUAAAAUAUUUCAUAAUCUCACGAAGUCAAAAGUGGGGCAGUCUUUCUUAGUAACUCCAUCAAAAGAAAAAGGAAAAAAAAAGAGAAUCAAAUUCCCUUGAUUUGGAAAUUGGGGCAAAUUAUUAUAAUAGACUCCAAAAGUUGUAGAAAAAUUAACCAUGUUGUCUUAGUUAUUUUGAGCCUUUAUGAUAUCUUAUUUUUCUACCCCUGUCCAAAAGCCACAUUACAGUAAAAAAAGACCUCCUGGAUAAUCUUUGAGAGUUCUGAGUUUAUACAUGCCAAGGGUAUAUGAUGUUUUUACCAUGGUUAAUGCCUUGUCAUUUGCAGAAUCAGAGGAAACAAGAAGAAAAGAACAGAAUGAAAGAGUCUUAUUGGUGAAAACCUUCACAUGCACCGUAAAGCGAUGGUGAGUUGAGAGAAAGAACAAAAUGAGAUAGGCUUGAUAGUAAAAUCUUUAUGGCACUGCAAGUCGAAUAAAGAUCAUAAAUCAGAGUGGAUAAUCGUAGCAAUGAAGCCACUUUCACAAUUUAGGGGUAUAACAAGAGUUAAACAUCAUACUUGCUUGACAGAUUAGGCCAGAUGCAUGUUAUGGUCAUUAGAGUUGGUGUCUACAUCUGAUAAGUUUCUACUUUGUAGUUUUCUUGUUAGGUAUCAUGUUUUCCAUUGUCCUUUACUUUGUUCCUUUUUUCUUGUUUACUCCCUCUUCCUGAGUCUGUUUGGUUAGAACAAGUGAGAAAUGACUUUAAAAUUUUCCACCAGUUUUCCAAUUAUACAAAACGGAGUCUGUUUAGCACAUCAAAGUGACAUAAGUCAGGAAAAAACAUCAUGCGCACUGUGUUGGUAAAAAUCAACGUGCUUUGGGAUUCAUGUGAAAUACAAAGGUUCAGUAUAUGUCAAUUCAUGAGCAUAAUGCAACAUAUGAAUGGUACUAAGUUUGAAUGGAGCAGAGGUAUUUUUCCGUGAUAAGGGUGAAGAGAAAGUGGUUAGUCAAUAAACAAGCAAUGUCUUUCGAGUUGAAAUCAAGUUAUCAUGGGAAGUGAAGGAGCAAUCGCCCUCAAAGUCAAGGACACAAACCAACCACCAUGUUUAAACUCACAAGUUUUCUUUGUGUGAAACAUGGAUGAAAGAUAUGUUCAUAUCAAAGCUUGGAAGCUUGAAUUUUUUAGGUGUAAUGCCCAGUUCUACUUGCGCACAUGCUAUUGAGAAGAUCACACAUCACCCCUAGAAGAAACACUUCCUAGCCUGGGUUUUCAAGUAAUAUUUUAUUGUAGGAGACGUACUUUCUAAAUUAAGAUUUUAUCACCAGGAGACGCACUUCCUAUUUGGUUCAUUUAAGUUCGUUACUAGGAGACGCACUUCCUAGUUUGAGUUAUUGAUGUUUCACCCCUAGGAGACACUUUUCCUAGUCUGGGUCUUUCGGGUUAUAUUUUUGUUUUAAGGAGACACACUUCCUAAGUUGAGAUUCCCCCUAGGAGACGCACUUCCUUGUCUGGUUCAUUUAAGUUCAUUCAUAGGAGACACACUUCUUAGCUUGGGUCAUUAAAGUUUCACCCCUAGGAGACGCACUUCCUAGUCUAGGUAGUUCAAGUUUAUAUUUUUGUUUUAUGAGACGCACUUCCUACAUUGAGAUUUCACCCCUAGGAGACACACGUCUUAGUAGGGGUCUUUCAGACUAUAUUUGUUAGGAGACCCACUUCCUAGUAGGGAUCUUUUAGAUUAUACUUGUUAGGAGAUGCAGUUUCUAGAUUUGGUUAUUUAGAUUCAUUCCUAGGAGAUGCACUUCAUAGUUUGAGUCAUUGAUGUUCAACCCAAGGAAAUGCGCUUCCUAGUUUGAGUCAUCUAAGUUCGGCCCUAGGAUACACACUUCCUGGUCCGUUUCAUUGAAGUUUUACCUGUAGGAGACGCAGUUCCUAAUCAAGGUCUUUCAAGUUAUUCUUUUAGGAGAUACACUUCCUAAAUUGAGAGUUCGUUCAUAGGAGACGUACUUCCUAGUUCAGUUCAUUCAAGUUUCAGCCCUAGGGGACGCACUUUCUAGUUUGGUUCAUUCAAGUUUUAUUGUUAGCAAACGUAUUUCCUAGUCAAAGUUUCUUGGUGUUACUCAUAGGAGACGCACAUCCUAGUCUAGUAUUUAGUUUACUCUCAUCAUUGCAUCGAUAGUAUAAGUGGUUUACAAUUUUGCUAACAAUUCACAUAUCUUCCUAGUGCAAACUGGGGUAGAAAAUUUUGUUUUUUUUUUAUCCUGGCAUCCAUGUGGAAAAUAAGGGAACACAGAAAAUUUCAGCAAUCUGUCUCCCACCUGGAGAACAAGAGAAGACAGUUCAAGUUUUAGGGGAAGACAGUUCAAGUGUCAAGGGAAGACAGUUCAAGUUUCAAGGGAAAGCAGUUCCGAGAGGACACAUAAAGUUUCAGCAAUCAGGAGCCCACCUGGAGAACAAGGGAAAGAAGUUCAAGUUUUAAGGGAAAGCACUUUCGAAGGAAGAAAGUUCAUGUUCAGCAAUCAGGCGCCCACCUUGAGAACAAGGGAAGGCAGUUCAAGUUUUUAAGGGAAAGUAGUUUCAAAGGAAAGUGAUUUAGGUUCAGCAAUCAGGCACCCACCUGGAGAACAAGGGAAAAUAACUCAAGUUUCUGAGGAAAGCGGUUCAAGUUUUGAAGGAAAGUAGCUCAAGUUUCAAUAUGAGUCAGUUCGAGUUCAACAAUCAGGCGCCCACCUGGAGAACAAGGGAAGACAGUUCAAGUUUCAAGGGAAAGCAGUUUCAAAGGAAAGCAAUUCAAAUGUUGGUAAUCAGGCGCCCACCUGAAGAACAAAGGGAAAGCAACAAUGUUCAAAGGAAGAUAGUUUAAGUUCAGCAAUCAGGCACCUGCCUGAAAAUAAGGGAAGACAAUUCAAGUUUUAGAGGAAAGGAAUACAAUUCAAAUAUUGGUAAUCAGGAACCCACAUGGAGAAUAAAGGGAAAGAAGCAAUGUUAAAAGGAGGACGGUUCAAGUUCAACAAUCAGGAUCCCACCUGGUAGGGGUGACAUAAUACCGACCGAACCGAAAAAAUGCUCGAACCGUGAAAUUCCGGUUUUUGUUCGGUUCACGAUUUUAAAAAUUAUUAGUUUUUGGAUUUUCGGUGCGGUUCACGGUUUAUGUAAUUGAGUUUUUAUUUAAACCGAAAAACCAAAAUUUAGGGGUAUUAGUUAUUUAUUUAGAAUUUUAUCUUAUUAAUUUUAUGACUCCGUAUAAGUUAUAUUGUCCAAGCCCAAUUGGCAAUUGCCUAAAUGUCCAAGCCCACCUCAUCCAAUUUAGAAUUUACCGCCAGUCAUUCAUUCAUACUUCAUAGACGCAAUUUAAAAUUUUAGGUUUAAGGUUCCUCUUCCUAGAUCAUCAAUUUCUCUCAUUCGCGACUGCGUCUGUAGCUGCGAUUGCGAACUAUGCGAUUGUUCCUUUUCGGCUCUUCCACAGCUCUGUGUGACUGCGACUGCCACCUUCUUCUUCAGGUUAGUGCUGCCUUCUUCCUCGGUUACAAGUAUUUCUUUUUUGAAUCAUUUAUUCUCUUGUUUUGAAUACAAGGAGUGACAUUUUGGGCUAAAUCAUUCUCUUGCGUUGAAUAAAUCAUUCUCUUAUUUUGAAUACAAGUAUUUUCGGCUACAAGGAGUGACAUUUUUGGCUACAAUUUCAUCUUAUUUUUUCUAUUUCUGUUGCUCUUUGUUUUGAAUGAUUUAUUCUCUGUUUUGAAUGAUUUAUUCUCUGUUUGGAAAAUUUUUAAUUAAAGAAGUUUCUCUCUAUGACUACCUUUAACAUUCGAUUGAGUUUUCAUUAAAGAAGUGCACUCCUUAAUUGUGUUUUCACUCGAUUUUCUAUAGAUGACAGAAGUUGAAAGUAGUGUAAGUGAGGUGGGUUCAUCUGAAAGCGAACCUACUACUUCACCUACAAAUUCAGUUAGUCAAGACUCAAAAAAAAGAAAAUCUGUACAAUCUAGAUCACCUGCUUGGGAUCAUUUUGAAAAAUUUAAAGAUUCUAAUGGAGAUGAUAGAGCAAAGUGUAAAUAUUGUGGUGGUGGUGGUUAUAAGGCUAAUUCAUGAUUGAAUUGGACAAAUCAUUGAAUACUCAUUUGAAGAAGUGUCUAAAAAUACCACGGAAAGUUGAUAAUACUCAAACACAAUUGUGUUUUCAAACGGAUGGGCAAAGUAAUGGUGGGGUACUUUGGAAAUUUGAUCAAUAACUAGUUAGGAGGGCUUUAGUUGGAAUGAUAAUUUUGGAGGAAUUACCUUUUAGCUUUGUUGAAAAGAAAGGCUUUAAGAAGUUUAUAAGUAUAGCCCAACCUCAAUUUAAUGUUCCUUCUCGUAGGACAAUUACACGGGAUUAUUUUCAAGUUUACAAUGAAGAGAGGCUUAAUCUAAUGAAUAAUUUCAGAGAUGUAAAACCAAGAAUUUACCUUACCACAGACACAUGGAAUUCGUUACACAGAAUUAACUAUAUGUGUUUGACAGGUCAUUUUAUUGAUAGAGAUUGGGUGUUUCAUAAAAGAAUACUAAAUUUUGCCCUAUCUCUAGUCAUAAGGGUGACAAAAUGGCAAAGGUUAUUGGUAAUUGUUUGCUUGAAUAGAAAUUGGAUAAGGUAUUCACUGCUACUGUUGAUAAUGCUUCUUCAAAUGAUGUCACGGUUAAAUAAUUGUCUAAAAACCUAGAUAUGUGGAAAACUAAUUCGAUAGAUGGUAAGCAUCUUCAUGUGAGAUGCAUAGCUCACAUACUUAAUCAAAUUGUGCAAGAUGGCUUGAAGGAAGUUGAUAUUUCUGUAAAACGUGUUAGACAAGCUGUUAGGUAUGUGAGAUCAUCUCCAUAAAGGACCUUAAAGUUUAGGAAAUGUUGUGUACAUCAAGAGGUAGAAUGUAUCAAAAUAUUGUGUUUGGAUGUUCCUACUAGGUGGAAUUCCACCUACUUGAUGUUGGAAAAGGCGCAAAAAUUUGAGAAGGCUUUUGACAAGCUUCAUCUUUUUGAUGAUGGAUUUUCUUCUCAUCUUUGUACACAUGUUUGUGAGGAUGGGAAUAUUUCAGGUCCAUUUGUAGUUGAUGAUUGGGUGAAUGUGAGAAACGUGAUAAAGUUUCUUGAACGAUUUCACGAGCUCACUGAAAAAGUUUCAGGCUCACGUUAUGUCACUUCUAAUUGUCACUUUCACGAUAUAUGUGAGCUUGAUAGUCAUUUGAAAUCUUGUUUAGCUAGUGAUGAUACUAAUUUGAGUAAGAUGACAGAGAAAAUAAAAGAGAAGUUUAAAAAAUAUUUGGGGUGAACCUGAAAAUAUGAAUAAAAUGAUUUUCAUUGCUUCUGUGACCCUCAUAACAAAUUUGAGUAUGUUGGUUUUGCACUUGAUGAAAUGUUUGGGAAGGAACUAAGGAAAAAAUUAACUGCCGAAGUGGAUGCUUA
rnacentral:lncRNA from 1 species